GCCGAAGUGGCGGAACUGGCAGACGCGCCGGACUCAAAAUCCGGUGAGGGAAACCUCGUGUGGGUUCGAGUCCCACCUUCGGCA
rnacentral:tRNA from 2 species